AUUGAACGCUGGCGGCAGGCCUAACACAUGCAAGUCGAACGGUGACAGGAAGCAGCUUGCUGCUUCGCUGACGAGUGGCGGACGGGUGAGUAAUGUCUGGGAAGCUGCCUGAUGGAGGGGGAUAACUACUGGAAACGGUAGCUAAUACCGCAUAAUGUCGCAAGACCAAAGAGGGGGACCUUCGGGCCUCUUGCCAUCGGAUGUGCCCAGAUGGGAUUAGCUUGGUGGUGGGGUAACGGCUCACCAAGGCGACGAUCCCUAGCUGGUCUGAGAGGGUGACUUGCCACGGUGGAACUAAGACACGUUCCAAACACAUACGUGAGGCAGCGGUGGAGAGUAAUGCGCAUAGCGAGCAAGCCUGAUGUAGACAGGCCGCGUGUAUGAAGAGGGCCUUCGGGUUGUAAAGUACUUUCAGCGAAGAGGAAGGGAGUAAUGUUAAUACCUUUGCUCAUUGACGUUACCCGCAGAAGGAGCACCGGCUAACUCCGU
rnacentral:rRNA from 1 species